rnacentral:rRNA from 1 species
CCUACGGGAGGCAGCAGUGAGGAAUAUUGGUCAAUGGGCGGGAGCCUGAACCAGCCAAGUCGCGUGAGGGAUGACGGCCCUAUGGGUUGUAAACCUCUUUUGCCGGGGAGCAAAGUGCCGCACGUGUGAGGUUUGUAGAGUACCCGGAGAAUAAGCAUCGGCUAACUCUGUGCCAGCAGCAGCGGUAAUACGGAGGAUGCGAUCGUUAUCCGGAUUUAUUGGGUUUAGAGGGUACGUAGGCGGACGCUUAAGUCAGCGGUAAAAGUGCGGGGCUCAACCUCGUCGAGCCUUGGAAACUGGGUGCCUUGAGUGGGCGAGAAGUACGCGGAAUGCGUGGUGUAGCGGUGAAAUGCAUAGAUAUCAGGAAGAACUCCGAUUGCGAAGGCGGCGUACCGGC